UACGGGGGGGGCAAGCGUUGUUCGGAAUUACUGGGCGUAAAGGGCUCGUAGGCGGCCAACUAAGUCAUACGUGAAAUCCCUCGGCUUAACCGGGGAACUGCGUCUGAUACUGGAUGGCUUGAGUUCGGGAGAGGGAUGCGGAAUUCCAGGUGUAGCGGUGAAAUGCGUAGAGACUCGGAAGAACACCAGUGGCGAAGGCGGCUACCUGGACGGGUACUGACGCUGCAGCGCGAAAGCUAGGGGAGCAAACAGG
rnacentral:rRNA from 1 species